rnacentral:rRNA from 1 species
UACAGAGGGUGCAAGCGUUAAUCGGAAUUACUGGGCGUAAAGCGUGCGUAGACGGUAGCGUAAGUCGGGUGUGAAAGCCCCGGGCUCAACCUGGGAAUUGCAUUCGAGACUGCUCUGCUAGGGUGCGGAAGAGGGGAGCGGAAUUUCCGGUGUAGCGGUGAAAUGCGUAGAUAUCGGAAGGAACACCAGUGGCGAAAGCGGCUCCCUGGUCCAGCACCAACGUUCAGGCACGAAAGCGUGGGGAGCAAACAGG